GACAGAGGGUGCAAACGUUGUUCGGAAUCACUGGGCGUAAAGCGUGUGUAGGCGGCGGAUCAAGUCGGAUGUGAAAGCCCCGAGCUCAACUUGGGAAGUGCAUUCGAUACUGAUUCGCUCGAGUAUCGGAGAGGUUGGUGGAAUUCUCGGUGUAGAGGUGAAAUUCGUAGAUAUCGAGAGGAACACCGGCGGCGAAGGCGGCCAACUGGACGAAUACUGACGCUGAGACACGAAAGCGUGGGGAGCAAACAGG
rnacentral:rRNA from 1 species